rnacentral:lncRNA from 1 species
GAUCAUUCCAAUGUUGGAGGAUCUGGUGGAACGUUCUGGUGUUGGAAAAUUCUGGUCCUGGAUCCCUCUGGGCAUCCCCAGGGUGGAACAUUCCGGAUUGGAGCAUCCUGGUGUGGGACCAUCCCAGGGAUGGAGCGUCCUGCUGUGGGAUCAUCCCAUUGUGGGAUGUCCUGCUGUGGAAUCCUCUGCUGUGGGAUCCUCUCCUGUGGGAUCUCCUGUUGUGGGUUCGUCCUGCUCUGGGAUCCUCUGCUGUGGGAUCUACUGUGGGAUCUCCAGCUGUGGGAUCAUCCCAGUAUCGGAGCAUCCCCGUGAUGGAACAUUCUGGGAUCGGAGCAUCCUGGUCCCAAAGCGUCCCAGUGUCAGAGCAUCCCAGUGUGGAGCAUCCCAGUGUGGAGCAUCCCAGUGCUGGACCAGAACAGGGCUGGAGCAUCCCAGUUUGGAAUAUCCCAGUAUGGAAUAUCCCAGUGUGGGACAUCCCAGUAUGGAGCAUCCCAGUUUGGAAUGUCCCACUAUGGAGCAUCCCAGUAUGGAACAUCCCAGUAUGGAGCAUCCCAGUAUAGAAUAUCCCAGUGUGGAGCCAUCCCAGUAUGGAGCAUCCCAGUGUGGGACAUCCCAGUGUGGGAUCACCCUGGUGUGGGAACAUCUUGGUGCCAGAGAUGUGAGUGAUGGAACAGCCCAGUGCUGCUCCAUCCCAGUCCAUCCCAGUCCAUCCCAGUGCUGCUCCAUCCCAGUGCCAGCCUAUCCCAGUCCCAGUCCAUCCCAGUAACGGAGCAUCCCAGUGCCAAUCCAUCCCAGUACCAGUCCAUCCCAGUGCCAGUUUAUCCCAAUACCAGUUUAUCCCAGUGCCAGUUUAUCCCAAUGCCAGUCCAUCCCAGUGCCAAUCCAUCCCAGUGCCAGCCCAUCCCAGUCCCAGCCUAUCCCAUUAUCAGCCCAUCCCAGUCCCAGUUUAUCCCAGUCCCAGCCCAUCCCAUCCCAUCCCAGUGCUGGCCCAUCCCGAGGGGAAACUGAGGCAGGCUGUGGGCGGAGCGGGUGGCAGUGGCAGUGUUGGGGUCCC